rnacentral:rRNA from 11 species
UUAAGUCCCUGCCCUUUGUACACACCGCCCGUCGCUACUACCGAUUGAAUGGCUCAGUGAGGCGUCCGGACUGGCCCAGAGAGGUGGGCAACUACCCCUCAGGGCCGGAAAGCUCUCCAAACUCGGUCAUUUAGAGGAAGUAAAAGUCGUAACAAGGUCUCCGUUGGUGAACCAGCGGAGGGAUCAUUA